rnacentral:lncRNA from 1 species
UUUUUUUUUUUUUUUUUGAGUCUCCUAACCUUUUGUUGGCCUGUCUGUGUGGUUCUGCUUGGGCUGCAGGGCUCAGUGUUCUUUAUUUUUCUGUGGUUCAUUAAUUGAAAAUGAAUUGAGAGACAGGCUGGCCUCCAAAUCACCUCCCCAUGCAAAAAAAGGCACCCUUCUAGAAGUAAGAGGAGCACACCACACCAAAAAGACAAACCUCUCCCAGAGAUUCAUUGUCCUGCAGGAAACCCAGGGAGCACACUAGCAGUCUUGUCCACAGGCCUUUUGAAUUUACCUCAUAUUCGGUUCCCAGCCAGCUAGGUGCUUCACGUCGUGAGAAGGCACCCUCCAUCAUCUUGGGAUUUCAUUGUAGGACAUAGAGUGUGACAAUCAAUAAAGUCAGAUAGGAGUGAGGAUACAAUCUGGUGAGGGGCAGAUGCGGUCCAGCAAAAAAAAAUGAAAGAUGAUACAGAAGGUGCUUCUAACUCCAUCCCCACAUUCCCUUAAUUGCACAACCAGUUCACACCAAUGCCCCACUGUUCAAGGGGGAGUACUCCAAUGUGCAAGGAAGAUUUGGAGUGCAAAUUGAGGCCAUCCUGGAAAACUCCUGAUUUAAGGACUUUCAUUGCUAUAGCCAAAUGAAAGUGGAAUAGAUUGAUGCCGGCUGCAAACCAGCCUGAAGAAACAUCAAGCAAAGCCCCAGGAAUAAACUGUGAAAUCCCUAAGGAUCCAAAAAGAUCUGCAAAAGACCUCAAGCCUUCUUAGACAUUGUAUUGGAUAGUCCCACGAUCCUAGGGGAGAGCAGACAAGAGCCAGCUGGAAGAUACGUCAAGCAAACCCCAGGAAUAAACCGCGAAAUCCGUAAGGUUCCAAAAGGAUCUGAAGGGUGCCUCAGGCCUGCCUAGGUGUGCAGAGGUUUGCAAUCGCCACAGACAGCCUCUGAGACACUGUCUCAACCUCAUCUGUACCUGUGAGAGGCCAGUUCUAGGUGUGGUUCCUGCUUACCCGAGAGAGAUCCUGUGAGGUCCAGGAUGAAGUGAGGCACUGCGGUUAAGGGCCUGGUCGUCUUUCAUUGACACUCAUCUCUGGGGUCUCAGCAAAUACAGGGGGAGACACUAGCAGUCCUCUCCACAGGGCCACUUGAACUUACACUGAAUUUGGUUCCAAGCCCAGCAGGUGCUUCACAUAAUGAGGGGGCACUCCUCCAUCAUGUUGGGAUUUUAUCCUGGGACCUAGAGUGUGAGUAGCAAUAAGGUCAGAUACAGGCUUGCCAUAACCACAGAUGGCCUCGGAGACAUUGUCUUAGCCUCAUCUGCACCCAUUGGAGGCCAGUCCAAUGCGUGAGGACACUGCUCCUCCUUGUACUUGCCUUGUCAUGGUAACUGCCUUUCCCAGAGAUCCCCUGUUAGUCCCAAGAUGAAGGGAGGCAGUGAGGUCAAGAACUCGGCCAUCUUUUGCUGAUACACACCUCUGGGGUUGGUCUCAGGGAAUCCACAGUGCCCAUCAACAGCACUACUGGACACCAUUUAAAGGCUUGUCAUCACCACAGACAGCCUCUGAGACACUGUCUAUACUCAUAUGCACUAGUGAGAGGCCAAUCCGAGGUACAAGAACACCACUCCAACUUGGAAUUGCCUUUGUCUUGGUUCCUGCUUUUCCCAGAGAGCCCUGUGAGGCUCAGAAUAAAGGGAGGAAGUGAGGUCAAGAACCUGGACAUCUUUCACUAACACCCAACUCUGGGAUCUGAGGUAUUAUUUUAUCACCAAAAGAACCCUCAACAACACACCAGAUUAUAUGCCAAUCCCCGCUGGACCCGAUUCUUGCACAUAGGUCUUUCCUGAAUGGAGUCACAAGAGCAGUUUCCUGUGACCACCUCACAGUAACAUAAAGCUUCUGCCUCUGGCAUGACCCGAUCACCAAGAUGGACUGGAGAGUCCAUCAGUUUGACAGUUUUAGGGUCCUGAAGUGGAGGUUUGCAGGCAGCCUUUUUUUUUGAUACCAGGCUUGCUCUGCCUGUACCAUUUUUCUGUGCUUAGAUAGGGUGACAGCUCUGACAGCACAGUACCUAAGCCUCCCUCACAAAUGUGCAUGUGCUAGUCUCAGGGCACAAGGCCUGAUUCUGAGCUCUGGCUAGCAUCACAAUACAUGUCACCAUUGCCUAGCAACAAGUCCCUGUGUCUUGUUGGAGAAGAAGAUUUCCAUGGAAGUGUGUUGGCUUUGGACUGUUGCCUGUCUUCUCUGUGGGAUCCAUGAGAUAAUCCCAUGUUCCCAGGAGGGUACAGAUGUGAGCCAGCCUGAAGUAACGUCAAGCAGAGCCGCAGGAAUAAACCACAAAAUCCCCAAGGAUGCAAAAGAUCUGCAGGAUUCCUCAGGACUGCCUAGACAUUGUAGGGGUCUUUCACUGGGCUGUUGCUGGAUGGGACUGCCUCUCACCACAGAUCUAUUGGCUGCCAGGGAUUUCAAGGAUGAAAAGAACUUCAGAGAAUCCACAGUACCCUACAAAUGCACUGCUGGUCAGUUUCAGGCUUGCUAUCACCACAGAGGGCAUCUGAUACAUUGUCUCAACCUCAUCUGCACCCGUGAGAGACCAGACCGAAGUGAGAACACUGACCCAUGUUGGACUUCUCUUUGUCAUGGUUUUUGCCUUUUGCAGAGGGCCCCAUCAAGGCCCAGGCUGAAGAGAGACAGUGAGGGCUUCCUGGAUCUGGCUCAACAUCUUCCACACUAAACUCUUCCCUGUUCACAGAAGACCAUCAUAAAAAUGCAUUGUGCUGGCUGACAGGUCUGACAGCCCAUCACGAAAGCCUGCAUACUCUUAGACACAAGGACUGAGCUAUGGGCUCCAGCUAGCAUCACAAUGAAGGCCACCAUUGCCUAGGGAUAAGUCCCUGUGACUUUGUGGAUAAGAACUCCGUGGAGCCAAUCCAAGGAGAGACACUAUCAUUCAUCUCUACCGGGCCUAUUAAAUUUACCUCGAAUU